rnacentral:rRNA from 1 species
GACGAACGCUGGCGGCGUGCUUAACACAUGCAAGUCGAACGAUGAACCACUUCGGUGGGGAUUAGUGGCGAACGGGUGAGUAACACGUGGGCAAUCUGCCCUGCACUCUGGGACAAGCCCUGGAAACGGGGUCUAAUACCGGAUACAACCACUGACCGCAUGGUCGGGUGGUGGAAAGCUCCGGCGGUGCAGGAUGAGCCCGCGGCCUAUCAGCUUGUUGGUGAGGUAAUGGCUCACCAAGGCGACGACGGGUAGCCGGCCUGAGAGGGCGACCGGCCACACUGGGACUGAGACACGGCCCAGACUCCUACGGGAGGCAGCAGUGGGGAAUAUUGCACAAUGGGCGAAAGCCUGAUGCAGCGACGCCGCGUGAGGGAUGACGGCCUUCGGGUUGUAAACCUCUUUCAGCAGGGAAGAAGCGAAAGUGACGGUACCUGCAGAAGAAGCGCCGGCUAACUACGUGCCAGCAGCCGCCGUAACAC